rnacentral:rRNA from 1 species
UGAUGCACAUACGGUUGAAAUUCCGUAGCCGCCGAAAUUGCUAAGCACAGGGACACAUAGAGAUAUCCGAACCCGGGCGUUGGUUGACCCGGGCGCAAGGGACCGAACAUCAGUAGGGAAGUCGGAGAUGCUCUGUGGCGAGAAAAGCUGUGCGUAUUGAUUAGGCGCCCGUACCGCAAACCGACACAGGUAGAUGAGGAGAGAAUCCUAAGGCCAACGGGAGAAGGGUUGUUAAGGAACUCGGCAAAUUGACCCCGUAACUUCGGGAUAAGGGGAGCCUCCUACGGGAGGCCGCAGUGAAUAGGCCCAAGCAACUGUUUACCAAAAACACAGGUCUCUGCUAAAUCGAAAGAUGACGUAUAGGGGCUGACGCCUGCCCGGUGCCGGAAGGUUAAGAGGAGAGCUUAGCGCAAGCGAAGGUUCGAAUUGAAGCCCCGGUAAACGGCGGCCGUAACAAUAACGGUCCUAAGGUAGCGAAAUUCCUUGUCAGGUAAGUUCUGACCCGCACGAAUGGCGUAAUGAUUUGGGCACUGUCUCAACAGCCCGCCCGGCGAAAUUGUAGUACUGGUGAAGAUGCCAGUUACCCGCAACUAGACGGAAAGACCCCAUGGAGCUUUACUGUAGCUUAAUACUGAAGAUCGGUGAUGCAUGUACAGGAUAGGUGGGAGCCUAGGAAACCCGGGCGUCAGCUUGGGCGGAGGCAACCUUGGAGUACCACCCUUGUAUUGCUGGUUUUCUAACCUGCGGCCAUGAAUCUGGUCGGGGGACACUGUUAGGUGGGCAGUUUGACUGGGGCGGUCGCCUCCAAAAGCGUAACGGAGGCGCUCAAAGGUUGGCUCAGCACGGACGGAAAUCGUGCAUAGAGUGCAAACGCAUAAGCCAACUUGACUGCGAGACCGACGGGUCGAGCAGGUACGAAAGUAGGAGUUAGUGAUCCGGUGGUAUGUGAGUGGAAAUGCCAUCGCUCAACGGAUAAAAGCUACCCUGGGGAUAACAGGCUGAUCUCCCCCAAGCGUCCACAGCGACGGGGAGGUUUGGCACCUCGAUGUCGGCUCGUCACAUCCUGGGGCUGGAUUCGGUCCCAAGGGUUCGGCUGUUCGCCGAUUAAAGUGGCACGCGAGCUGGGUUCAGAACGUCGUGAGACAGUUCGGUCCCUAUCUGUUGCGGGCGCAGGAGAUUUGAAGGGAGCUGUCCUAGUACGAGAGGACCGGGAUGGACAGACCUCUGGUGCACCAGUUGUCGUGCCAACGGCACAGCUGGGUAGCUACGUCUGGACGAGAUAAACGCUGAAAGCAUCUAAGUGUGAAACUCCCCCUAAGAUAAGAUCUCCCAUCCUUUAUGGAGUAAGGGACGACAAAGACUAUGUCGUUGAUAGGUCGGAAGUGUAAGUGCAGUAAUGCAUUGAGCUGACCGAUACUAAUAACCCGAGGGCUUGACU